rnacentral:rRNA from 1 species
AGCUCCAAUAGCGUAUACUAAAGUUGUUGCGAUUAAAAAGCUCGUAGUUGGAUCUCAGGCAUGGGCGCGCGGUCCGCCUCGCGGCGGUCACUGUGUGUAAUGUUUCCCAUCCUACGCUUCCCGGUUGUUCAGCCCAUGGUGCUCUUCACUGAGCGUUUUGGGUGGCCGGAACGUUUACUUUGAAGAAAUUAGAGUGUUCAAAGCAGGCAGCUCGCCUGAAUAAUGGUGCAUGGAAUAAUGGAAUAGGACCUCGGUUCUAUUUUGCUGGUUUUCGGAACACGAGGUAAUGAUUAAGAGGGACGGACGGGGGCAUCCGUAUUGUUUUGCUAGAGGUGAAAUUCUUGGAUCACUGCAAGACGAACUACUGCGAAAGCAUUUGCCAAGAACGUUUUCA